rnacentral:lncRNA from 1 species
GUAUAGAAGGGUUACUUAGACUUAUAAGAAGGUCGAGCCCACCGGCACUUAACACCAUCACAACAUCACAAAGUUAGGACCUGAAAAACAACAGGGAAUAAAACCCUGAGUACGGAAUUACUCAGCAAGACUUACCCGACUAAGGAAAAGACUCUCAAGGGCAUGCUGGCUAUCAGGGAGUCAAGGUAUGGUUUAUCAAGAAUCAAAGACUCUGUUUUGCAGAAAAGCUUACUACGAGUGGAUCCUUAAAAUCCAAUUUUAUUGUCAGGUUAGGUAAAGUUACCUGCAUCUAGAGUUUGUUCUACCCUAGUUCAAGCACUUGACCUACACUAGCCAAUUUCUUAACAACCCUUCAUCUUCACUGGAUUGCUACGUGUAAGUCAGUGACCAAGUCUUCAUAACCGCGAAGGUACGGCGAUCCGAAUCGAUUAUACUCAGCUGAGGAUCUCCAAUCACACGACAUAUGUAGCACUUAACCCUUGCAUAUGUCAACCCGCCACCGGGGUUCUUAAGACCAGAUCAGGUUCACGCAAACCGAGAGCACAGAUACACCACCGUCCAGCCUCUUGCUACGGAGGGUACACGCUACUCUCGCCACCGCUCCACGCCCAUUUCGUGUUAUCUUAUUCUGGCCUUAGUCUGCCCGAGGCAAGGCUUACCCAUGACGAGGCAUGUGACCAGUUAAAGGGUCCUCGGUCAGCAGGCCUACAUCGAGACGGUCCUUAAUCGACUCAGACGGAGACACUACACCGAGACUCUCUUCUCGUGCAAGUCACCCGCCCGGUCUCAGCUUAAUCAUUUCAACCCAAAGUUUGGUACCUGGCAGAGGUACAUCUUUUCCGAUGUUGAACCCAUCACGGCCAUGAUGGAUCCACCAUCAAGUUUUAUUUUCGAAAACAUCCCACCCACUUUUGCCACAUCAUCUUUUGUAAAAACAAAACAUUUUGUUUUGCUAGAGCAACACUAAGCAUAACAAAACCUUUUGUAAAACGGUGAUCAAGGAAGGUAAUCAAAUUCAAGGAAGGUAAUGCAGGAAUUGUUUUAGCAAUCAACUCCUAUCACCUAAUGCAUCAAUCAAGUGAGAAAGAUUUUAAAAACACAAGGAGGUGGCAAAUGCACCGGGGCUUGCCUGAGUAACACUAGGUUAGUGUUGUUAGGUGACGUCCGCUUGACGAGUAUCCUUCGACCGAGCACUUGCUUGAUUUAACCAUCUUCAGGUUGAUUCUUCAGCUUCAGCUUGCAGAUUAGCCCGCGCUUGGGGUCGACUUGGCUCGUCU